GACGAACGCUGGCGGCGUGCCUAAUACAUGCAAGUUGAGCGCUGAAGGUUGGUACUUGUACCAACUGGAUGAGCAGCGAACGGGUGAGUAACGCGUGGGGAAUCUGCCUUUGAGCGGGGGACAACAUUUGGAAACGAAUGCUAAUACCGCAUAAAAACUUUAAACACAAGUUUUAAGUUUGAAAGAUGCAAUUGCAUCACUCAAAGAUGAUCCCGCGUUGUAUUAGCUAGUUGGUGAGGUAAAGGCUCACCAAGGCGAUGAUACAUAGCCGACCUGAGAGGGUGAUCGGCCACAUUGGGACUGGGAAACGGCCCAAACUCCUACGGGAGGCAGCAGUAGGGAAUCUUCGGCAAUGGACGAAAGUCUGACCGAGCAACGCCGCGUGAGUGAAGAAGGUUUUCGGAUCGUAAAACUCUGUUGGUAGAGAAGAACGUUGGUGAGAGUGGAAAGCUCAUCAAGUGACGGUAACUACCCAGAAAGGGACGGCUAACUACGUG
rnacentral:rRNA from 1 species